UACGGAGGGAGCUAGCGUUGUUCGGAAUUACUGGGCGUAAAGCGCGCGCAGGCGGCUCUUUAAGUCUGACGGUGAAAUGCCGGGGCUCAACCCCGAGCGUGCCGGAGAUACUGGAGGGCUGGAGACGAGUAGAGGCAAGCGGAAUUCCGGGUGUAGCGGUGGAAUGCGUAGAGAUCCGGAAGAACACCGGAGGCGAAGGCGGCUUGCUGGGCUCGGUCUGACGCUGAGGCGCGAAAGCGUGGGGAGCGAACAGG
rnacentral:rRNA from 1 species